rnacentral:rRNA from 1 species
UACAGAGGGUGCGAGCGUUGUCCGGAAUCACUGGGCGUAAAGCGCGUGUAGGCUGCUCGGAAAGUCGGAUGUGAAAGCCCUGGGCUCAACCUAGGAAGUGCAUUCGAAACUUCCGAGCUGGAGUGCUGGAGAGGAAGGCGGAAUUCUCGGUGUAGAGGUGAAAUUCGUAGAUAUCGAGAGGAACACCGGUGGCGAAGGCGGCCUUCUGGACAGCGACUGACGCUGAGACGCGAAAGCGUGGGGAGCAAACAGG